UCUACAGUGCAAAAGGAUGCCAUAUCACUCAUCGUUUUUGUGUCAGAUUUCCUAAUGAGUAGUGUACUUAACGCUAUUCUCCUGCCUUCUCCUAAUAACUCAGCACUUUCACAAAUAACCAUCUAAUUUCCUUCCAAAUGCUUCAAUUUAACCUGUCUCUAUCACACUCUGUGUAUUGCAGAUCCUAAUCUGUUGUUGAGGGAAAAAUAGUUUUCCUAUGUUACUUUGCAUCUUUUACUGACAACUUAAAACCGUAUCUUUGAAUUCUCCUCAACACCUUCACUAAUUUUCUCAAUCUUCAUAUCUAUCUUCACAACUGCAAUUCUCCAUUCCCAGAACCAUUUUCAGAAGCUCCUUCUUUAUUCCUUGCAAUGCUUUCACAUUAGCCCUAAAGUGUGGGGUACAGGAUUGGACGCAAUAUUCCAGCUAAGGCCAAAUUAGCAUAUUAGGGACCCUUAAGACAUGUCGAAGCAAGUGGAGAAAUGGGCGAUUAUGCUCUUAUCAUAAAUGCAACCUGACUAUCCUUGUUCCAGUCUUCACUCCAGGAAAGUUUUCUUCUGUUCUGGAAGAUAUUCUGACAAGAAUUUUACUUGUGAAGUGCCAGCCUCUCUACAACAGAGUAGUUAUCAAAUCCGUUUCUUCUAGACCCGAAACAUCAGCUUUCCUGCUCCUCUGAUGCUGCUUGGCCUGCUGUGUUCAUCCAGCUCUACGCCUUGUUAUCUCAGAUUCUCCAGCAUUGGCAGUUCCUACUAUCUCUGACGUUAUUAAGUGUUGACAUUGCAUCACCAGAGAGAUCUUCGUGUUGGCGCAAAUGUGUCUGCGCCCUGCAGUCAAGCUUUUUUUUUAAACUGGUUUUCUGCUCAGAUCCUGAAGUAAACUUAGUUUCUAAUCAUUGUUUUUAAAAUUCUCUGAGAAUGAACUUGUAUGGAGAAAGGAACAGCUUUGAACUUAGUAUUUUUAUAAGAAGUCUCUGCUGUUCUGUACACUGCAGUGGAGGUCAGUUAGUUCAAUUGGCUAAACAGCUAGUUUAUAAUACAGUGUGGUACCAACAGCACAGGUUCAAUUCCUGCACCAGCUGAGGUUAUCAUAAAGGAUUCUCCUCUCAGCUGAGGGUAGCCCUCAGAUGAAACCACAAAUCUGACUGUCUCUGCAUGCAUGCAUGCAUGUAUGUCUCUGAUACUCAGUAGGACACAAGGUAUUAUGGGAUGGAAAUUCUUUCCUUAAUCAGAAAACACCUUGACUAAUUCCCUUGCUUGUUAUUAUAAAGUAAAUGCCAAUGCUAAACUACAAAUCAUGGUUAUUCUAUUGAACAAUUUGGGGUCAGAAACUGAGCAAUAUUCUGUUUGAAAAGUGAAUUAAGUAUUUCAGGCAGAUGCCAAAAGCUUCAUGCUUCUUAAACAAGGGAUGAUAAUUUAGAUUCUUUUUGAAGUGCUCAAUGUCUAACUGUGAUGCAAUGCUGGAACGUUGUGCAAGUAUGUAGCUGCAGUUUCCUCAAUCCAUCCAUACAGACUUUUGCUUUAGCAAUUUCUAUCAUCUUUGAAAUUUGAAAAAAAAAUUACAUUUUCCUCUGACAGAUUUAAAAUGUGCUGGUAAUACUGGCACUUAGGUUGCCCGAAUCUGUGUUGUAAUAUUCCAUGAUUCUUGAACGUUCCACCUCUCCUGUCAAAAUUACAAUGAGUAAUGGAUACCUCCAAUGGAAUUUCAAACUGUACACAGUUUAGCAUCUUGGUUUACGCAUCUGGCUGUCAUUUUUAAAUAUAAUUAAUGCUACUGGCAUAUUUCUUGUGUUGCAGAUGAUACAUAAUACAUGUAUAUAUGCGAGAAUAAUUUCAAAGAAAUUAUUAUUCCAGACAGUUAUCUGUUUGUGUAUCAGUCUACUCAAUUUGGACAAUUGUUAACUUGAUGCCUUGGUUAGAUGGAUGACAGGCCAGCUGCUGGGUGUUUUGAGGUCUUCCCUAACAGGUAGCGGUUUUUGUGUCGAUAUUGUUUUGAGUCCCUUUGUUCUGGAAAUCAAAUAAACAAAUUAAGACAUGUUAUUGAAGGGUGGUGGUGUGGAAAGGUUCUUCCUCCAUUUGGCAGAGAGUUCAUAAUGAGCAGCCUGAUAUAGGGUUGACAUUUGAUAGACACUGCUCAGCUGAAAAAUCAUUUGAAGCCAGCAGAGAAACAUUAGACCAAAGAUUUAAUGACUGUUCUGCAGAGAAUCAUCCUAAAAGAGAUUUUAUUUUAAGGUUCAGUCUCACAUUACAUAUUAGUCUGACAAAGCAGUUCUGGUCGUCCAUAUCCCAACAACCUAUAAAGUGAACCCAAGGAAUGCAUCUGACCCUGACAGAUUCCCCAGCUGUGCGUUCAGAUCCCUUACAGAUCAAUUGGUGGAAAUAUUCUCUGACAUCUUUAACGUCUCCUUGCCAGAACCUGAAGUCCCCACCUGCUUCAAGAAGACAGUCAUCAUCCCAGUACUGAGGAAUACAUAUGCAAAUUGCCUCAAUGGCUACUGCCCAGUGGCUCUGACCUCCGUAAUCAUGAAAUGUUUCAAGAGGUUAGUCAUAGCCCAUAUCAACUUUAGCCUCCCAGCCUGCCUCAAUCCCUUAGAGUUUGCUGACUGGCAAAACAGUUCUGCAGUCGAUCCAUUUCCCUCGCCCUGGAACAUCUAGUUAAUAAGGAUACCUAUGUCAGGUUCCUACAAAUUGAAUACUGCUCUGCUUUCAACACUAUAAUCCUAACUAAAGAAAUCUCAACUCUGAGACCUAUGUCUUAGCUCCAGCCUCCGCAACUGAAUCCUCAGCUCCUGACCCACAGGCUACAAUCUGUGGAGAUGGACAACAGCAUCCCAUACAUGAUAAUUCUCAACACUGGCAUCCUGCAUAGAUGCAUACUCAACCCCUUACUGUAUUCCCUGCACACCCACGAAUCUGUAGACAAAUUUCAUCCAAACACCAUCUACAAGUUUGCUGAUGACGCAAGCAUUGUAGGCCAGAUAUCAAAAAAUAAAAAGUCAGAAUACAGGAAGGAGGUAGAAUGCUUGGUGUUGUGGUGCUAUGAUAACAAUCUCUCAAUGUCAGCAAAACUAAAGAACUGAUCGUUGGCUUCAGGAAGAAAGGAGGAGGACACUUCUCUGUCUACAUCAAGGAGCUGAGGUGGGGAAAGUUGAGGAUGUCAAGUUCCUAGGAGUGAUGAAAUCCAACAAUCUGUCCUGGACUUCCCACAUAAAUGCAACAAUCGAGAAGGCAUAACAACACCUCUUCUUCAGAAGGCUCAGGAAAUUUGGCAUGCCCAUAAUGACUCUCACCAAUUUUUACAGAUGCGCCAUAGAAAGUGUUCUAUCUGGGUGCAUAACGACUUGGUAUGGCAACUGCUCUGCCCAGGACUGUAAGAAACUACAAACUGUUGUGUUUGCAGCCAGAACUUCACGAAAACCAGCCCCCCAUCCACGGGCUCCAUGUACAUUCCUCAUUACCGUGGAAAGGCUGCCAACAUAAAAGAUCCCUCCCACCCCAGUAAUACUCUCUUCCAACAUCUUCUGCCAGGCAGAAGAUACCAACGCUUAAACACAUGUAGCAACAGUUUCAAGAACAGCUUCUUCCUUGCUGUUUAUUAGACUGCUGAAUGCACCACUCUAAUUUCUAAUCUAAUGUUGACCUUGCUUUUGUGCACAUCCUGUGCAACUGUAAUCUUGUAUGCCUCACUUUGUCAAAGCACCCUAUGAUCUGUAUGCCCUUAUGCUCUGCCCGAACUGCUCACCAAAUGAAACUUUUCACUGUACUUGGGUACAUAUGACAACAACAAAUCAAAACAUGAAUCAAAUCAAAGUAAUUAUGGUAAAAUUAUGGCUUAUUCUUAUUUUUGUUCAUUUCCAAUUGACUAUUCAAUAAACUUGCUAACACUAUGUAAUAAGCCAUUAAUUUAUAUGAAGUUAAGCCUUCCAUUUCUACACUGUAUCAUCUGGCCUAAUCUUGUUCAGUUUCUGGCUUUUGAUAACAAAAUUUUGAUACUGGUGAAUUAAAUGAUCAUAAUGUCAAGGGAAGAUAGUCAGACUCUCUUUUUGAAAUGUUCAUUGACUGGCACUUGUAUGGCACAAAUGCUACUUGCCACUUAUCGCAUGUUUGGAUGUUGCCCAGAUCCGUGUAAGUGAACAAAAACUGAUUCCGUUUUUGAAGAGUUGAGAAUGAUGCUGAACAUUGUGCUAUCAUUAGAAAAUAUCCUCACCCCAAGAUAGAGAGAAAACGUAUUAAUAAAGCAGCUGAAGAUAUUUGGAGCUGGGAUGUUAUCUUGAGUUACACUUGCAGAGCGAUCCCAGGUUUGAGCUGAUUAACUUGCCAAAACCCACAACAAUCUUCCUUUAUGUCAUGAUUCCCAUAAACUUCACUUUUUAGGGCUUCUUGGUACAAUAUUUAGUGAAGUGUGAUAUUGAUGUCAGGAGCAGUUACUCUCGUUUCUCUUCUGGAGCUUAGCUUUUUCAUCCAUAUCUGGACCAGGGCUAAAAUGCGGUUGGAAGCUAAGUAGUCCUGACAAAACCAAAGUGUCAGUGAGCAAGUUUUUUUUGAGUUAUUGACAUUUGGUAGUACUGUUAAAACUCCUAACUAUCCAAAAUACUGAAAUAAAAACUCUUAGCAUCUACACAGCAGUCAUGAUUUCUUAUGUUGACUUCAGUUUUGGAUGUUAUUUACCUCGAUCCAACUCUUUCCUUUACCCUUCUGCUCCUGUAUCUGUGGCUGUUGAUUCUCCAAUGAAUUGAUUAGAUGCAAAAAUACUGAAUUCUCUCAUUGAAAUACAGAUACAUAACCUAGUUGCAUGCCUUUCAAGCCUUAAGUUCAAUGCACCUCCUUCUGAGUUUGUAGUCACAUUUUUAAAAAAUUCCUCCUGUGUUUAAUUUGUUCUGCUGUUUCUUUAUAUCCAAACUUCAAUUUCUUGGCAUACUUUAUUGGAUACAAAUAACACACUAUUCAAACAAUGGAUGUCACAGCUUCUUCAUUUUGUCCUACAUGGAAAUAUGUUUAAUAAAGGGCUACAUAAGUCAUGAAUAAUUAUUUCUUCAUCAUUCUCAAAUUUUCUUGUUCCUUGCCCACAUAAAAUGCAGGUAAAUCAACAUCUUAAGAUAUAUUAACUAACAUGCUUCUUAAUGCUGCCAAUGGGGGCUUGGUGUUACCACUUAAGUAGGUGGGUUCAAGACUUCUGAACACCAUCAGCCCUUCAAAUAAAUCUAAUUUCUGCCUUUCGCAAAGGGAAGUAUGUUUUCCUUAGGGCGCUGACUUAUCCUCCUACUUUGUUACUCGUACAUACUAUUAGAUAAGUUAGAGAUGGUAAAAUGCACUGUCAGGAGUUGCAGCCAGACGUUUAGUCUAUCAAGUAUGAACUGGAUUCUGAAUCCUUAUGAAUAUUUAUGAACAAUCUGUUAUAAAUUAACAAUAAAGUUCUCAGUUAGAGAAAAAAAGUAGUAUGCCUUAUCAUGUAAAGAAUUCUAUUCCACAGCAAUAGAUUGACAAAACCUUCACUAAUUGAAUAUAGUUAUUUGUAAUCUCAAUUUGGACAGCUACUCUAAAAUGGUACUCAAUCCUAUAUCAAACAAAUAAAGAUGGUGCAUUGGCAACAAUAUAGAGUCUGAAUAUAUUCCAGAACAAAUCAGUGACCAAAUUCAUAAACAAUGCGAGUAUGUUGUAAUUGUGUUCGUAUCACCCAGGAAUGUUAUACAAAUUCUUCAUUGUGUGGUUUAUUUUUUAGCUCAGAAAGGUUCAUACUAAUUUUGGAUAUUUUGGUAAUAGCAUUUACAUUUCAGUAACCUGCGAUUUUAAGUGAUGUUGGAAUAGAAUUUGACAUUGCUUUGUUACAUGGUAAGUUCUUAAGGACACCAUUGCAAACUGUAAUUGUGGCAUGUUGAUAGAACACCAUGGUUUAUUAUUGUGAUAUUAACCAGAUACUAGUCAACCUCUCUACUGGUCAUAACAGCAGCUGGGAGAGUUCACUGAUAGCAUAUUGCAUUCAUUAAAUUUUUAAAAAGUCACGUUGUACCUUUUUAUUUUCCCCUCAAUCACUGGCGCCUCUCCCCGUUCUCAAUGACAUCCAAAAAUUCUACAAAAGACAGAAAUUAACAUCUCCCCUGCCAGCAUCCUAAUUAAAACCCAUAAUGAAAGAAAUUAACUCAGAAUUGAAGCCUAUUGGACGAAUCGGCGUUGUGUUUGAUGAAUAGCCGUUUUUAGAAGGAGAAAACUGUGUACUGACAUUCCUCAGGGGGCAGUGUUCAAAAUAUAUGUUUAUACACUCAAGUUCAAUUGAUUAAUAAAGGGUGUAAUUUUAAAGUAUAGGGUGACAGAAAUUUUCCAUAUAGUGAGGUUUGAAAACUCCCAGAAGAUGUUAACCAACUGGUUUAAAGGUCUGACUAAAAGAUGGUAGUUAACUGGGGAGUGGAAGAUAUUAUUUUAACCAGUUUUCUUUAAAUCACAUGGCUGGUGGUUACUGCUUAUUGUUCUGUAGAUGAUUGAGGUGGUUUUCACCAGUGACUGGCUUGGAGAGAGGUAUGCGUUUCUGGCUCAGUUGGAACAAAGCCUGAUAAGAACAAACUGAGCUGGAGGAAACCUCACCAAUUGUUCUUUUUCAUUUCUGAAAAGAAAACUCUGAACUGUAUUUAUUCUUUUGAACAAAUAUGUUUCCUGCGCAAUCUGUAUCUUCAAGACUUCAGAGACAGCCAUGUUGAUUAAUAACUUAGCCAAUGCAGCAGAACAUCAGAGCAAACAAAUUCUGAUAUUUUCCACAUUUUAUUCUUUUGCUUUUAAAAUAAUUCAUUGGCUCUAUUUCCUUUCUCCCCUUCUUUUUUUCUUGAAUCUGUGUGCCUGUGUGUUUUCUGU